ensembl:snoRNA small nucleolar RNA, C/D box 57
CGGAUGUGAUGUCAAACUGCUGUCCUGACCCGCUGUGGAGGCAAAAGACUGAUUUAAUGAGGCUGAUCC